rnacentral:ncRNA from 1 species
UAAAGGUUUGGUCCUAGCCUUACUGUUAAUUGUAAUUAGACCUACACAUGCAAGUUUCCGCAAUCCGGUGAAAAUGCCCUAAAGAUUAAAACAAAUCAACAGGAGCUGGUAUCAGGCACACUACACUACAGUAGCCCAUGACACCUUGCUUAGCCACACCCCCACGGGAUACAGCAGUGACUAAUAUUAAGCUAUAAACGAAAGUUUGACUAAAUCAUAAUUAACCAGGGUUGGUAAAUCUCGUGCCAGCCACCGCGGUCAUACGAUUGACCCGAAUUAACAGAUUUACGGCGUAAAGCGUGUUUAAGCCAAAAAACUACAAUAAAGCUAAAAUUUAACUAAACUGUAAUACGCUCUAGUUAAUAUAAAAAUACAUAACGAAAGUAGCUUUAACCUUGCUGAAUACACUACAGCUAAGAAACAAACUGGGAUUAGAUACCCCACUAUGCUUAGCCAUAAACCAAGAUAAUUAAUCAAACAAAAUUAUUCGCCAGAGAACUACUAGCCAGCGCUUAAAACUCAAAGGACUUGGCGGUGCCCUAAACCCACCUAGAGGAGCCUGUUCUAUAAUCGAUAAACCCCGAUAAACCUCACCUUUUCUUGCCAAUACAGCCUAUAUACCGCCAUCGUCAGCUAACCCCAGCAGGGACAAAAAGUAAGCAAGACUAUGUACCAUAAAAACGUUAGGUCAAGGUGUAGCAUAUGAAAAGGAAAGCAAUGGGCUACAUUUUCUAAACUAGAACAUUAACGAAUUAUCUCAUGAAACUUGAGAAAUAUGAAGGAGGAUUUAGUAGUAAAUUAAGAAUAGAGAGCUUAAUUGAAAAAGGCAAUAGGGCGCGUACACACCGCCCGUCACCCUCCUCAACUUAUAUCUUCCAAUAAAUAAUACAUUUCAUACUAAAAGAGGAGAAAAGUCGUAACAUGGUAAGUGUACUGGAAAGUGCACUUGGAACAU